rnacentral:miRNA from 1 species
UUUGUAUUACGUGCGGAAAUUGUUACCAUUUUCCGCUCAAAAAUGGUAACAAUUUCCGCACGUAAUACAAA